UCUACGGGCGGCUGCAGUGGGGAAUAUUGGACAAUGGGCGAAAGCCUGAUCCAGCCAUGCCGCGUGUGUGAAGAAGGCCUUCGGGUUGUAAAGCACUUUCAGUGGGGAAGAAAGCCUUGGGGCUAAUACCCUCGAGGAAGGACAUCACCCACAGAAGAAGCACCGGCUAACUCCGUGCCAGCAGCCGCGGUAAUACGGAGGGUGCGAGCGUUAAUCGGAAUUACUGGGCGUAAAGCGCGCGUAGGCGGUCUGAUAAGCCGGUUGUGAAAGCCCCGGGCUCAACCUGGGAACGGCAUCCGGAACUGUCAGGCUAGAGUGCAGGAGAGGAAGGUAGAAUUCCCGGUGGAGCGGUGAAAUGCGUAGAGAUCGGGAGGAAUACCAGUGGCGAAGGCGGCCUUCUGGACUGACACUGACGCUGAGGUGCGAAAGCGUGGGUAGCAAACAGGAUUAGAUACCCCGGUAGUC
rnacentral:rRNA from 1 species